rnacentral:rRNA from 1 species
UACGUAGGGGGCAAGCGUUGUCCGGAUUUAUUGGGCGUAAAGAGCGUGUAGGCGGCUUCACAGGUCUGCUGUGAAAACUCGAGGCUCAACCUCGAGCUGUCGGUGGAAACCGUGGGGCUAGAGUCCGGAAGAGGAGAGUGGAAUUCCCGGUGUAGCGGUGAAAUGCGCAGAUAUCGGGAGGAACACCAGUGGCGAAGGCGACUACCUGGCCUGUUCUUGACGCUGAGGCGCGAAAGCUAGGGGAGCAAACGGG